rnacentral:rRNA from 1 species
UACGGAGGGGGCUAGCGUUGUUCGGAAUUACUGGGCGUAAAGCGCACGUAGGCGGCUUUGCAAGGUAGAGGUGAAAGCCCGGGGCUCAACUCCGGAAUUGCCUUUAAAACUGCAUCGCUAGAAUUGUGGAGAGGUAAGUGGAAUUCCGAGUGUAGAGGUGAAAUUCGUAGAUAUUCGGAAGAACACCAGUGGCGAAGGCGGCUCACUGGUCCGGUACUGACGCUGAGGUGCGAAAGCGUGGGGAGCAAACAGG